ACACUGGCCCUUUUCAGGGCCACAAACUUUCUAAACUGGUUCUUU
rfam:Habropoda laboriosa contig5013, whole genome shotgun sequence.